rnacentral:rRNA from 1 species
UCAACUAUUUGGAGAGCGCCUGAUAUCGAUAGCUAGUGGUGGGGUAUGGUACCAAGCACGAUUCUGUAGCUGUUGAGAAGGACGACAGGCCACACUUGGACUUGAGAACCGCCAGGUCCUUACCGGGAGGCAGCAGUGGGAAAUUUGACAAUUGGGGAAACCCUGAUCCAGCAUCCCGCGGUAUGAUGAGGCCUCGGGUUGUAAAGUACUUGCAGAGAAGAAAAGGUAUCCCCUAAUACGGGAUACUGCUGACGGUAUCUGCAGAUAAGCACCGGCUAACUACGUGCCAGCAGCCGCGGUUAUACGUAGGGUGCAAGCGUUAAUCGGAAUUACUGGGCGUAAAGCGUGUGUAGGCGGUUCGGAAAGAAAGAUGUGAAAUCCCAGGGCUCAACCUUGGAACUGCAUUUUAACUGCCGAGCUAGAGUAUGUCAGAGGGGGGUAGAAUUCCACGUGUAGCAGUGAAAUGCGUAGAUAUGUGGAGGAAUACCGAUGGCGAAGGCAGCCCCCUGGGAUAAUACUGACGCUCAGACACGAAAGCGUGGGGAGCAAACAGGAUUAGAUACCCUGGUAGUCCACGCCCUAAACGAUGUCAACUAGCUGUUGGGGCCGUUAGGCCUUAGUAGCGCAGCUAACGCGUGAAGUUGACCGCCUGGGGAGUACGGUCGCAAGAUUAAAACUCAAAGGAAUUGACGGGGACCCGCACAAGCGGUGGAUGAUGUGGAUUAAUUCGAUGCAACGCGAAAAACCUUACCUACCCUUGACAUGUCUGGAAAGCCGAAGAGAUUUGGCCGUGCUCGCAAGAGAACCGGAACACAGGUGCUGCAUGGCUGUCGUCAGCUCGUGUCGUGAGAUGUUGGGUUAAGUCCCGCAACGAGCGCAACCCUUGUCAUUAGUUGCUACGCAAGAGCACUCUAAUGAGACUGCCGGUGACAAACCGGAGGAAGGUGGGGAUGACGUCAAGUCCUCAUGGCCCUUAUGGGUAGGGCUUCACACGUCAUACAAUGGUCGGGACAGAGGGUCGCCAACCCGCGAGGGGGAGCCAAUCUCAGAAACCCGAUCGUAGUCCGGAUCGCAGUCUGCAACUCGACUGCGUGAAGUCGGAAUCGCUAGUAAUCGCGGAUCAGAAUGUCGCGGUGAAUACGUUCCCGGGUCUUGUACACACCGCCCGUCACACCAUGGGAGUGGGUUUCACCAGAAGUAGGUAGCCUAACCGUAAGGAGGGCGCAAGGAUCGGUGAUGCAUGAAGAAUAGGCA